AUUGAACGCUGGCGGCAGGCCUAACACAUGCAAGUCGAACGAGUAGCGGACGGGUGAGUGAUGUCUGGGAAACUGCCUGAUGUAGGGGGCUGACUGCUGGAAACGGUAGCUACUACCGCAUAACAUCCGAUGUGCCCCGAUUGGAUGAGCUAGUUGGUGGGGUAACGGCUCACCAAGGCGACGAUCCCUAGCUGGCCUGAGAGGAUGACCAGCCACACUGGAACUGAGACACGGACCAGACUCCUACGGGAGGCAGCAGUGGGGAAUAUUGCACAAUGGGCGAAAGCCUGACGGAGCAAUGCCGCGUGUAUGAAGAAGGCCUUCGGGUGGUAAAGCACUUUCAGUGGUGAGGCGUUAUCCGCACAAGAAGCACCGGCUAACUCCGUGCCAGCAGCCGCGGUAAUUC
rnacentral:rRNA from 1 species